AUCAAAAACGUGGAACUGCUUCGAGGGCCCUCUGCUAUGGUGGCGCGCCGAAACCAGAGAAAAAUUGAGACCACCAAAAUCAGGCUCAUUGGCAAUCUCCCUACUCAUCUCUGUUGAAACGAACGUGGUGGGGGUGGGUCGCAUAGUGAAGCAAUUCCGAAUAGCUGCAUAGAGUCGCUGUGAUCGGAUAACCCGUAUGCACGAGGGACGCGGGGGGCCGGAAGGAUCACUCCAUCUCUGUCCUAUUCGUGGUUUCCACGAUGGUAUCGCUUGAAUGUUGACUGUUUCCAGUUUCUGAUGCAGAUUCUCCUGGUGAGCGUUUUGCCUCAUUCUUAAUCUAAUGUAGUAUACUAACGCAUAGGACAGAAUUUCGGAUGCGUGCUCUUUACAGGGAAAUAUGAAGGAGUACGUAUUAAGAACUUCAUCGAGGGUACCAUCG